rnacentral:lncRNA from 1 species
CCAUACAAAGAUGGGCCCUAUAGAUGCCCCUUCCAUGGUUUUCGUAAGAAGUUUGCUCAGUCACCUAACCCUAAAUCUCACCUUUUAGCAUAUAAGAAGGCCAAUCACAACCAGUGAAAAGAAGAGAGAAGACCUUCUCAACUGCGGGCAGCAUCUUCCAGGAGUGUAAUUGGAAUGAAUAUGCCUCUACUUUGUAUAUUAUUUCUAAUAAGAAUUUUAAUAAUGAAUCCUACACACAUAACAGAAUGGUUUUGAUAAUGUAAAAAAAAAUUAAAAGAAAAAAAU